rnacentral:rRNA from 1 species
GACGAACGCUGGCGGCGUGCUUAACACAUGCAAGUCGAACGGAAAGGCCCUGCUUUUGUGGGGUGCUCGAGUGGCGAACGGGUGAGUAACACGUGAGUAACCUGCCCUUGACUUUGGGAUAACUUCAGGAAACUGGGGCUAAUACCGGAUAGGAGCUCCUGCUGCAUGGUGGGGGUUGGAAAGUUUCGGCGGUUGGGGAUGGACUCGCGGCUCAUCAGCUUGUUGGUGGGGUAGUGGCUUACCAAGGCUUUGACGGGUAGCCGGCCUGAGAGGGUGACCGACCACAUUGGGACUGAGAUACGGCCCAGACUCCUACGGGAGGCAGCAGUGGGGAAUAUUGCACAAUGGGCGGAAGCCUGAUGCAGCAACGCCGCGUGCGGGAUGACGGCCUUCGGGUUGUAAACCGCUUUCGCCUGUGACGAAGCGUGAGUGACGGUAAUGGGUAAAGAAGCACCGGCUAACUACGUG